CAAGUAUCACAGAGCUUGAAAAGCAUUUAGACAAUGCUCUCAGCCACAUGGUGUGGCUCUUGGGGAUAGUCCUGUGCAGGGCAGGGAGAUGGACU